rnacentral:rRNA from 1 species
CCUACGGGCGGCUGCAGUGAGGAAUAUUGGUCAAUGGACGAGAGUCUGAACCAGCCAAGUAGCGUGAAGGAUGACUGCCCUAUGGGUUGUAAACUUCUUUUAUAUGGGAAUAAAAUGUUCCACGUGUGGGAUUUUGUAUGUACCAUAUGAAUAAGGAUCGGCUAACUCCGUGCCAGCAGCCGCGGUAAUACGGAGGAUCCGAGCGUUAUCCGGAUUUAUUGGGUUUAAAGGGAGCGUAGGUGGAUUGUUAAGUCAGUUGUGAAAGUUUGCGGCUCAACCGUAAAAUUGCAGUUGAAACUGGCAGUCUUGAGUACAGUAGAGGUGGGCGGAAUGCGUGGUGUAGCGGUGAAAUGCUUAGAUAUCACGAAGAACUCCGAUUGCGAAGGCAGUUCACUGGACUGCAACUGACACUGAGGCUCGAAAGUGUGGGUAUCAAACAGGAUGAGAUACCCCUGUAGUC